rnacentral:lncRNA from 1 species
AGGCCCCGCCCAUCGGCGCCCGCCCGCCAGCCCCGAGUGGCGCGCUCUGGUCUAGGGGAGCGCGAUGGGUGGGUGGCUCUGCCCACCUCUGCCCGUGGGCGUGCCCGUCCUUCCGGCCUAGCGAGAGUCGUGAACGCCGCCCCGCAUCCCCCUAGUGUUCCCCAGACGAGCUCGAGCCAUUGUCGGUGCUCGCGUGCACACUAACCAAGAGUCCCCAUCCCGAGGAAAAAUAUGAGACUUGGGCUGUUACAAUUUAGGAAGGGUUUGACCCAGAUUAUGCUGCUGUUCCUGGUGUUCCUGUGCUUGCAUAACAGAUUUGGGACGACCCCAGCGAAUCGCUCCACCCAUCUUACUUAAUCAGGAUUAGUGGACCACGUAAAAGAAUUUAUCCAAGCCUGGAAGAGCUCCUCCUCGUUGCAAAUGUUCGAUCAAUAUUCGUAACAAGAGCAAUAGUCACUUGAGCUCUUUGUGCUCAACAAAUUGAGCUCGCUUCAAAUUCUCCGUGUAUAAAAUGAGCAUCUUUGCGCCAGAUGUUCU